rnacentral:tRNA from 1 species
GCCGGGAUGCUGGAAUUGGAAUACAGGCCGGUCUCAAAAACCGGUGGUCUUUUGGGACCAUGAGGGUUCAACUCCCUCUCCCGGCA